UCGAAAAUAAAGUGGUAGCGAUGAGGACAGGGAUCCUAAAUGAAGAGAUACUUAAGAGUGAAACGAGAGAAGGUGGCUAACCAGGUAAGGAGGGACGGUGAGGCAAAAACGAAGGUCUGAGGAUGAUUCACAGGUUUCUAGAUGCAGCAGAUUUCAGUGCUGUUAACUAAAAUGAGAAGAUAAGGACAGAAACAGCUUUUCUGGAUUUGACAGAAUUCAUUUCUAUGACUGUCUUACAUGGAAGCACAGUGUUAGACCACAAGGUUCCUCUUCUAUACUGAAAGGGCCCCCAAAUUUCAGUCUUGCCUUUUUAUGCUUUUUAAAGCUUCUCUGUCCUGGUCCUUUUUAAGAGAUUAUAACUUGUCAUAUAUUUCUUUUGUCAAAGACCUCAAAUGACCUGUAAAUCAAAUCACCCUAUAAGUUACAAUCAUAAGAUUAAACAAGGACCAAAAGAUGGUCUCAGAGACCCCUUAGAAUAAAUGUGUAAACUUCAGCACAUUGUUGCUGUGAUUUCUUCCUUGGCUGCUUAAAAAUUCUGUCCCAAUGAGCUGAAAUUGUCAGAUUGGACCUCCAAAUAAGGGUUAUCAUUGCCAAAAUCUACCAAAGAGGCCUUGGAGUAAUUUGAAGAAGCAAGGGAGUUUGUUUUCAGUCCUUCUGUCUAUUGGCUUUUCUUUUCCACGAAAGGCUUAUUUUUCAUUCUCAUAGAUCAUAGGAACAUUGUCAAAAAAUCUCUUAUGCCAAUUCUGUGCAUGUUUGAAAUAUAAAGACAAACUUCAACUCAGCCAUUUAAAUUUCUCCUUCCUUUUUCUCCCAAACAUUUUGGAUAGUUUGAAGGACUCCAGAAGGAGCAGUUACAGCUAGCUCACUUCCUGAGAGAACAACUGAGUAGACAGACCUAGAAAUAAGGCUGGUGUAUUUAGCCAAGGCCAGGAGAGAGCAGAUACCAGCCACCCUCUGCAGAGCUCGACAACCCACACAAGAAGCACAGCUUUGUCUACUGCAGCCACGCUGGGAGGGGUUUCUCUGCCUCCCCUUGGGCUGUGUAUAUGCUUCUCACCCUCUCAACCUGUCAGUCUGGUACCAUUCAGUGACUACUAAAUAUACAAACAACAAUGACAAAAAAAAAUCAAAUAUAGCAAAAACAGUAUUAGCCUGGUAAGGAAGACAGCAAUAAGUGAUACAGAUACAUUAUCACUGAUCACUUUUGGUUUAAAAGAAAUAUUUUUAUUUCAGCAACCUGAGUAAUGUCGAUAUAUGUGAUUGUGAUUGCCACAUACAAGGACAAUAACGAAGGCUUUUUUAUUUUAUGUUCUUUCAGGCAUGUAGUCAAAACUAAAGGGUUUUAAGGAGACUGCUUUCAAGCAGAAUUUCCUUCUUCUACUUAUAUGAACAUAUUGAGGAUUUUCUCAUGACUUUUAAAAAAAUUAUUUUAUUCCUCCGUCUUUAGGUUUCUAAUUAAUUCAAGGUUCUUUUUUUUCAAUAAAAACAUAUUUUUGAGAGACUUCAAUUAUUUGAUCUUCCUAAAUGUUUUCCAUUGCAAGGAUUAGAGGUGAUAAAUCACAUUCCGUUUAUCUCCUACGGUUUCUUCUAGCACAUUGUCAACUCCCCUCUCACCCUCAUGUGCACACCCCCUGCAUAGUAACUGCAUAUGGGACAGUGUAAAGGCUGUGGGAUAAGUGACACUAUUAGCACAGUGUGGUGGCUUUGAUGUGUAGCUCUCGGCAGGGUUGCCAGAAGAGUGACAGACUCCAGCUCUAAUGCAAAGACUAUUUCUCAUUUACCCAGUUCACUUCUAAUAGUCUUAUAUUACCAUUAGUGGCAGAAAGCAGACAGACAUCAUGGCUGAAAAAUCUCACAUCCUUAGGAUUAGUUUAUUAUGUUGAGUGCCAGCUUUCUGUAUGCAAUAAGUCCUUUAUUAAAAAUCAUGAAAAAUAUUUUGAUGAAGAAAAAUACUCCAACAUAUAAUUGGUAUCAAAAUAAGGUCAGUUACUUUUAUUUUAAUUCAAAUGAAAAGAACGUUAUAUCCCAUACUGUGCCCCCACUCCCAGGCACAGGGUUGUGGAAAUUCAAUUUUCCUGUGCAAUUUUCUAAGGUGAAAGCUGUCCUAGUCUCCUGGCUUGUGCCAGUGUUCCACGGAUUUAGUUGUGCCAUUUCCUAAGCAUUGAGCAAAAUGUUGUUCCGAAAAAAGGAACAAAAAAAUUUAAUGAAUAAUUUUGUAUCUAAAAAUAAACCAUAUUAACGGUUGAAAAUUGGAGGUGGGGAGAGAAAAAAGGAUCAAAGACACCCAAGAAAAUAGAGUGGAUUGCACCCUGUGAAUGAAGGAGAACUUAACCAAUGAGCAGUUAACCAGGAGGUUUAAAGCAGAAGCCUAGCUACCUAUAAAUGUGGAACAUUUUAAAUGUGAGAAAGCUGUUAAAGGGGACUUAAAAGAACAAAAAGUACCAUUUGUUCCCCUAAUUAACUUUGAAGAGUCUAAUUAAGGGCAACAUAAAAGCCUAAGAAAUGCUGGUUAUUAGGCAUGUACUUUAACUUGAUCAGUGAGAUGGUAUUCUUGUAAACAAAGAUGCUAAUUUCACCCAGCCCAAAAUAAACCUCUCUGCAAAUAUCUCACAACAUAAUCAUGCAGUACCUUGGGAACAGAAUCCCUUUCUAGUGCAGGCUGCCUCUUGAGGUUCUUAAUUCUAGGCAUUAAUGACACUCAAUUUAAAGGUGCAAUCGAGGAUAAAGUAUAUUCUGACAAUUUGGUCUGAUCAUGGCCACUCCUCAGAGGAGUUUUCUUUAUGUUUGUUGAAUUAUAACUUGCCUGAACAGCUCUUACAUUUCCAUCAUUAAUAGGGAGAACUUUUUCUCUAAAAUGGAGAAAUGUAGUAUAAGUCAAUGAGCAUUUAUGCCUGACUUACAAUACAUCCGUAUUAUUCAAGGUUAGGUUAGGCUUGGCUUUGCUUCAUGACUAAGUUUAGGAGUUCCCGUGGUGUCUCAGAGGAAACGAAUUUGACUAGGAACCAUGAGGUUGCAGGUUUGAUCCCUGGGCUCGCUCAGUGGGUUAAGAAUCCGGUGUUGCAGUGAGCUCUGGUGUAGGUCGCAGACACGGCUAGGAUUUGGCAUUGCUGUGGCUGUGGCAUGGGCCAGCAGCUGUAUCUCCAAUUAGACCCCUAUCCUGGGAACAUCCAUAUGCCACAGGUGUGGCCCUAAAAAGCAGGAAAAAAAAAAAGAUGUUUAAAUUUUAGAUUUAAUAUUCAAAAAAAUUUAAGGGGGGAAAUACAGCAUUUCUUUUUAGAAAAGGAAUCUGCCAGUAAUAUAAAAGUUAUUAUAAAUUUAGAAUAAUAGGAUUAUUUAACUGUGGGUUUUAUCUAGUUUUCCUUUCUGUUGCUCUAAGGAGUUUCUCCAUGCGAUGAGGGAGUGAACUCUUAUCCCAGACUUAAAAUUUUUGACUUCUGAGAACUUGUUUUAUGUUUUGACUUGGUGAAGAUCAGUGUCUUCAGUUGGGGAAACCAGAUGAAGGUAUUUUCUAAGGAAUGCUUCACAAGGAUCCUAUAAUGAGACCAUUUUAAAGAGCUUUGAUUUCUUGUGGAAAAAAAAAGGUAUUAUGACUUUUAUUAUUGUCAACACCAAUGCUAAGCAUAGGAGUGAGUGAAAGUAGACAAUUCUGGCUUAAUUAUAUAAUCACAUGAAAUGGGAUUCCCAAUGCUAUUUAGUGUUGUGAAUUAACCAUAGCCUGCAGUAGCAAGUGCAGCCUUGCUAUUGGCAUGCUAUUAAAACUAACCCUAAAGCUUGCAGCAAGGGAAAAGAGAGGCUUCUGUGAUACUUUGAGAUUUUAAUUCUAACAUCAGCACUCAAAAGGACUGCUUUCAAAAAAGGGCAGUGUCUAACAGCCUUGAGACGAAGGAUUAUAGAUUAUAAAUAGAAUGAGUUUUAAAAAUAUAUUUUGGCAUCCAGACACUUCUAAGGAUUUUCUCCUACUAGACUCUCCACAGCUGACUGUCUAUACUUAACCUAGCAGAACCUGUAGUGGUGGCUACUUUUCCAAGGGCCUCCUGCCCCUGGAGAACCAACUGAAUGUGGACAUUACAGACCAGAAAAAGGACAUAGACUAGAGUCAAACUGGAAGAAUUACACAAAAUUGAGCACCCUAUACUUGUUAUGAGUGACCUACACUUUAAAUCUGCAAAAAUCCAAAACCAAAACUUCUUAGUUGCCUUGUGCAUCAAUAUCAACCAGUAUAUACAGACUAUCUACUGUGUAAAAAACAUUGCACUUUUAUUUUAAGGAUAGCGAAAAAGGGUAGAAAGCAGACAUAAGAAACAAGAGAAUAUACAAAGAGAAUCACUGAAUCACUUCCUUUAAGCCAGCUCUCUUAAUCCAGCCUUUGAAUUAAUAUUUAGAAAUUAUUGGGCCCAUGAAAACUAUAUUACACUGUUCCCAACUGUAAUUAUCUUGUCUGAGAGUACAUGUGCUGCCUCCCAGCUAGCCCUUUUCAUCCCUUCCUACUAUCAUUCUUGCAUUACUUAGGUACAAGAAUGCCAUCAUCUUCCAGAAGCAAAUACAGAAACUUAUAUUACCCCACACCAUACCAUUGAAAAAAACAGACAAGAAUGAAAGGUAGAAUCCAGUGCAGAUCUAUUGCAAAUAUAUUUAAGCACUACCUGAAGUUUUAUAGGCCUUGAUCAUAUCAUUCCUAAUUACUUUUAUCAUAUCCCCAAUCAAUAAGUGGUAAGAAUUACUCCCAUUAAAAGUAAUGGAGACAAGAGUCAUUUUUCUUGUGAAAAAAACAUUGUAUAGAUACUUGAUUGGAUUAUUCCUCUCUGAUAUGACAAAGGUUAUUCUGUGGUGUUUUUCUGCUACAUUGGACAGCAUGCCUUUGAUAUGUCUAUAGGCCUUGAUGUGUCUUUACCUGCAACAAGAGACUAAUUUAGUGCUAAUUGCUUAGAAUAGUCAUCAUUCAGCAUUAUCUGCAACACCUCACUACCUAUGUAUAGCUUUCAGUAGGAAUGCUUAGUCUGCAGAUGUUUAUUAGCCUUUUAACUUAUUCGUAUUCUUCAUUUUUUGCCUUAACCAAAUUAAAAUCAAAACCAAAAAUGAAUUGUUACUGAGGGCAUUGUAAGUGUUGAAUUGUAAGUAAUGCAAUGUUCAUUGCUUUCUAGAUUAAAAAGUUCAUGGAAGGAAUAAAGAACAGAAUUCAGAAGACUCAAGAGGCACCUAGGCGUGUAUGCUGAAACUUUUUCUAAGGUAGUGCAUAUUCUGAUGUACACAUUUUCUUAAAAUUUAUACCCUUACAACUUAGAGUACUUCUGUAAGGGACAAAGCAACUCCCCUGGCCUUUUCAGGUGAUCAAUAAGAGAUCAUGUAGCAAAACUGACCAUUAUUCUCCCUAUUAAAAUAAAUCAGGCAUUAUUUUGAAACCUUUUAAAAGGUCAACCUAUUGCUCCCUCUCAGUUGUUUCUCUGGGAAUCUAGAAACAUGAUUCUUGUGGUUAUCUCACACAGCUUUGGACCUGGUCCUCACAAGAACAGAGGAAAUCUCUCUCAAAUUGCAUUAAGCAUUUUUCUUCAAAGCUGCAGUUCUUAUAGGUGUUUUUUGAAGGAAUAGGUAAUAAAACUACAUGUCUGUGUUGAAAGGCCCUGAAUAUUCUUUCCCUCCAAAGAACAUUUCCUAAUAGUAUAUUCAUAUGAACUACAGGAGCCAAACUUUAGCGUUCAGAGUCUAAUACCAGAGAUAGGUCAACCCACGUCUAUCCUGCCUGAUAGGUGGAUAAUGAAAUUUAGAUGUUCUAACACCCUGGGUACAAUGCAUGUCUCCAAAAAUAAUUCAGCAAGAUACCUCAGGGGUCAGUGAUUUGGGAUGGAGUUACAAAUACCCACAUUCAGAAGUAGCAGCUUGUUUUCUGUCAUAGAUGGAAGGAGACCCGCUCAUGGGCACACUGUCUACCAAAUGUGACACUACACAACACUUUUGAUGUAGCGCACAAGGUAUUUAGGCACAGCAAGCAACGGAUCUGUACUAAUAAAUUCACAGUCUGUUUCCCAGUCUCCUGGUGUGAACCAUCCACAUCCAUCCAGGAUGAGUAAUAGAGGGUUAGAGUCUAUGCAGACAUGGGGCCUGGAGGAGGUUAUUCAGUCCCAGGGGUAUAGACUUGGCAUCCCUGAGAAAAUGCUCUGCUAAUCCACUGAGCUAAUCAUUUGAACAAGGCAAAGACAGAUACGUGAAUAAUAUGGGUGGCCCAACAUAAAUUUUUUGUAAGAACUGUUACAUUUAGAUUGACACAUCCCUGAAAAUUAGUUUUCAAAAGCACACUGCAGGUGAGUCUAAAUUG
rnacentral:lncRNA from 1 species